UCCUCCGCAGCAGGGAGAGGAGCUCCAGCGCUCCUCAGGAGUUGCACAGAAGUCCUUUGUCUGACCUCUGCUGUGGGGAAAGCUGCCGGGAUCGACCCCGCCAUUGUUAGCUCCUUUCCAGCCUCAUCAGGCUUCCCAUCCCAGUGUAAUCUCCUAUGAACUGAAAAUCCCCCUUUAAGAAGCUAUUGCAGAAUAGAAGCUAAGCCGAAGCAACAUCCGCAGCUGCUGUUCAGUCAGGCUGACUCCUGGAGCCCGUUCCCAACUUCUUGCAAGCCCACAAAGAACCCUCCCAACCUGGCAGCAUCUGGAGCGGGCCGCCGCGCCAGUUUUACACCAGCCCGGCUCUGCUGACACCCACAGAGCCGCUUCUCCCACUGGUUUGAGACAAGAUCUCGCCCAAGAAGGCUGACGAUGCUCAGCUUCUGAGCACCACAGGGCACCAAGGCAGCAGAGCACCAAACGAGUGAAAACCACCGGCAGGUCAGAUUUGUGGCACUUCACGGCUACUUGGAAUCAAAAGGUGAGGCCUGUGGGCAACCAAACCAUUCAGGUUUGCAACGUCUACAUAGCAUAUCCCAGACUCUAUCCCCGAAGACCUCUUUUAGACUUCUGAGCAAAACCUCACUGAAGUCUGUGAGACAGCUGACAGGAUAGGCUGCAAGGUCUUCAGGAUUAGAUCCCCGGUUAAUACACAUUUGCAUAUUGAGCUUGUGAAAUAAAUAAAUUGCUCAGUGAAA